GACGAACGCUGGCGGCGUGCUUAACACAUGCAAGUCGAACGGAAAGGCCCUGCUUUUGUGGGGUGCUCGAGUGGCGAACGGGUGAGUAACACGUGAGUAACCUGCCCUUGACUUUGGGAUAACUUCAGGAAACUGGGGCUAAUACCGGAUAGGAGCUCCUGCUGCAUGGUGGGGGUUGGAAAGUUUCGGCGGUUGGGGAUGGACUCGCGGGUUAUCAGCUUGUUGGUGGGGUAGUGGCUUACCAAGGGUUUGACGGGUAGCCGGCCUGAGAGGGUGACCGGCCACAUUGGGACUAAGAUACGGCCCAGACUCCUACGGGCGGCAGAAGUGGGGAAUAUUGCACAAUGGGCGGAAGCCUGAUGCAGCAACGCCGCGUGCGGGAUGACGGCCUUCGGGUUGUAAACCGCUUUCGCCUGUGACGAAGCGUGAGUGACGGUAAUGGGUAAAGAAGCACCGGCUAACUACGUG
rnacentral:rRNA from 1 species